AGAUUGAACGCUGGCGGCAUGCCUUACACAUGCAAGUCGAACGGCAGCACGGGAGCAAUCCUGGUGGCGAGUGGCGAACGGGUGAGUAAUACAUCGGAACGUGCCCAAUCGUGGGGGAUAACGCAGCGAAAGCUGUGCUAAUACCGCAUAAGAUCUACGGAUGAAAGCAGGGGAUCGCAAGACCUUGCGCGAAUGGAGCGGCCGAUGGCAGAUUAGGUAGUUGGUGAGGUAAAGGCUCACCAAGCCUUCGAUCUGUAGCUAGUCU
rnacentral:rRNA from 1 species